ensembl:lncRNA
GCCGGCUCUGUCCUGAUUGGUUUUCUAGUUGUCGAAAUCCUGUCGGUUCUGCUAUCUGUACCUAGCCCUGUGCCUUACAGGCAGGAGCUGCUCAAUAAGUAAUGAAGAGUUGGUUCAAAGUUUCCUGUAUCUCUGCGAAAACAUCUGAAGAUCGUAGGAGGCAGAGAUGAUGUCUUACUAUUCCCCAUGAUGCCCACACAUAGCAGACAGUUGAGAAGGAAUUUAUUCAGUAAAUGAAGUCUGCAUAUCUCCUGGAGCAAAGUGCACAAGGCCAUGUACCUCAUGGGGUGUCCAAGACCCCAUGUCAAAAAUGAAUGGCCUGACUGAUCACAGAAGCUGAACCCUGACAGAGCUCUGACUUUGAACUUCACUUCUGCUUGAAUGGGAAGAAAAACACGACUUCUCAUAAGCAAGGAUUUUAAUUGUCAUGAAUGCACAGCAAACUGUGGUGAGUGACCUUUUGCUCACAGAUGAAGACACUGAGGUAGGGCUUAGUUUAGGAAACUGGAUUCAUAACAUUCAGCGUAUUUAUAUCCAGAUUAGGGCUCUGGAUUUAGAACACUGGAAUACACCAACAUUGUCUGUUGCCAUGGCAGUGCAAACACAACACUUGAAUAAGUGCCCAGUCACUUAUCAUAGCAGGAUUAGUGGUCUUCUAAAAGGAUCUACAUUCACACUACUGAAGUGUCUCCCAACGGCAUGAGGAUGGGCUGUGCACCUACUAGUGAAAAUACACCUUUCAUUUCCAAAUGGCAAUGAGCAAAGCUAUGCUGAUGAAUACGCUAGCUAAAUAAAGAAUAGCGUAAAGAUUUGUAAUGAUUAAAG